AUUCUGGUUGAUCCUGCCAGAGGUCACUGCUAUCAGUAUUCGAUUAAGCCAUGCGAGUCAAAUGUUCUUCGUGAACAUGGCGUACUGCUCAGUAACACGUGGAUAAUCUGCCCUAAGGUCAGGUAUAACUCCGGGAAACUGGUGAUAAUCCCUGAUAAAUCAUAGAUACUGGAAUGUUCUGUGAUUCAAAGCUCCGGUGCCUUAGGAUGAAUCUGCGGUCUAUCAGGUAGUAGUGGGUGUAG
rnacentral:rRNA from 1 species